rnacentral:rRNA from 1 species
UACAGAGGUCUCAAGCGUUGUUCGGAUUCAUUGGGCGUAAAGGGUGCGUAGGUGGCGCUGUAAGUCAGGUGUGAAAUUUCGGAGCUUAACUCCGAAACUGCAUUUGAUACUGCGGUGCUUUGAGGACUGGAGAGGAGAUUGGAAUUCACGGUGUAGCAGUGAAAUGCGUAGAGAUCGUAAGGAAGACCAGUGGCGAAGGCGGGAUCGUCUGGACAGU